rnacentral:rRNA from 1 species
UACGUAUGGGGCGAGCGUUGUUCGGAAUUAUUGGGUGUAAAGGGCGUCUAGGCGGGAAAUUAAGUUAUAUGUGAAAGGCGUGGGCUCAACCCACGAAUUGCAUCUAAAACUGGUUUUCUUGAGUUCGGGAGAGGAGAGCGGGAUUCUUGGUGUAGCGGUGAAAUGCGUAGAUAUCAAGAAGAACACCAGUGGCGAAGGCGGCUCUCUGGCCUAGAACUGACGCUGAAGCGCGAAAGCGUGGGUAGCGAACGGGAUUAGAUACCCCGGUAGUCCCUGAGCGGG